AGCAGCCGCGGUAAUUCCAGCUCCAAUAGCGUAUAUUAAAGUUGUUGCAGUUAAAAAGCUCGUAGUUGAAUUUCGGGGUUAGUAGGUUGGUCAUGCCUCUGGUAUGUACUGGUCUCACUGAUUCCUCCUUCCUGAUGAACCUUAAUGCCAUUAAUUUGGUGUUUUGGGGAAUUUGGACUGUUACUUUGAAAAAAUUAGAGUGUUUAAAGCAAGCUAACGCUUGAAUACAUUAGCAUGGAAUAAUGAAAUAGGACGUUCGAUCCUAUUUUGUUGGUUUCUAGGAUUGACGUAAUGAUUAAUAGGGAUAGUUGGGGGCAUUAGUAUUCAAUUGUCAGAGGUGAAAUUCUUGGAUUUAUUGAAGACUAACUACUGUGAAAGCAUUUGCCAAGGAUGUUUUCAUUAAUCAAGAACGAAAGUUAGGGGAUCGAAGACGAUCAGAUACCGUCGUAGUCUUAACCAUAAACUAUGCCGACUAGGGAUCGGAUGAUGUUAAUUUUUUAAUGACUCAUUCGGCGCCUUA
rnacentral:rRNA from 1 species